rnacentral:lncRNA from 1 species
AUGAGUGUCCCUGUGGAACAAAGCUUGGGGUUUUGCAAAAUCCAGUCUCCAAGUCAAAGGAGUUCCUCCCUGGGCCUCAAGGUUGCAGCAGUGCAUAUUAAUGGGGGUGGUGGGGAGAGCCGGACAAAGGGGCUUCUCUGUGUUCCGGUGCCCAGUCUCUUUUUUGGGGACAGAGAGGACUUUGUUUUCUUACACUGGAGAAGGAAGCUUGGGUACAAGGUCACACCUGAACUGAAAAUGGAAAAAAAAAGUCUUAAGGUUCCUGAGCAAAAGAGAAAAGGAGGUUUGACCAUGAGGCUUGGAGAAGGGAGAAGGGCUGGGGAGUACGGCAAGCAUCAAAUUGGAUAUUUCUCUGGAAACACUGACAGUCUGAAUUCCCUCAAUCUGUGUCUCAAUCCCAAACUGAAAGGACCAUCUUCCUGAGGCUCUUGGUGAUGCUGACGCUACCAGUUUGAGGACCACACUUUGAGAAACAAGGUUCUAGACUUUGACCUUCACUGCACAGGCUUACAAGACUGGUAAGUCUGAUUAAGAGAUCUUUUAGGAAUAGACUCAUAUUAACUAAGCUUACAAGCUUGCUGUAGAAAUCUAGAAAUCUAAUUUGUUAAUAUGUUAAUGAGAAAAAUGAAAUGUACGGACCCAUAAUCAUCUGCUGUUCCUAAGACAUGCCACCUGAGACGCCAAAUUAGAGCGCAGGAUAAGAAUGGACAGGAGACUGUAAAAGAUUGUUGUGUGUAUAGUUGGUUCAAAGAUUUCAGGCUAAUAGAGAUUUUCUAGCUGUCACUGCACUGGAGUGGUGGUUUUAAAAUGUACCUGGGAUUUAAUUAAGUAUCAUUAGUGAUAUGCAGUCACACUGUCAUGGAAAUGACUUCAUGAGGGGAAAAGUUUUAUAUUUGCAGGUCCCUAGAAAUAGGAGGCACAGCAUGCUGUGCAGGGGGCCACACAGAGCGGCACUGGGGUUGCUCAGAAAGCAGAAGGAGCAAGGGAAAUCAUGGGCAAGAACCUUCAUUUUUGAGGAAAGGAAUAAAUGAGGCAGCAUGAAUGAGUUUAGGAUUGAA